CGCACCACCGCACAUGAACCACGGCUGCACUUCGACGAUUGAUCACGAAACUUGUGGAUGAGGCUUGGACUCCAUUUGUUCUCUAAUUUUAUAGGUAACAAGUUGCUGCAACAAAAACCAUGAUAAUAUGGAGAUAGGCAAGGUGAGGCGCGGACUAGGUCGCUCUCUUAAGACGAAUUUCACGACCCCUUCUCUAAUGAGGUGCAAAAAGGUUCCGAUCGUGUCGCCUAUGGGAUACAACAGCCCAGCCUAUCUCUCCGCUGUAACUUCACCGAAAUUGCACGUUCAAGUGAAGCAGAAGCUUACACCCGACACACAACAAGAGCUCAAUAUAUGUAUAUAAUAUAUGAUCCUUUUGAAAGACAUUUUUCUUUCACUCUUUAUGUUCUCUCCUCUAUUUUUUCAAGCCACAAAGCCACCCUUUUAUAGUGUAAAAUAAGGUCAUCAUAAAACCUAUAUUUAAUAUAGAAUUAGGGAAAUUUAUGGAGGUUUUAUGAGGUAAAUAAAGUGCUUGU